GAUGAACGCUAGCUACAGGCUUAACACAUGCAAGUCGAGGGGAAACGACAUCGAAAGCUUGCUUUUGAUGGGCGUCGACCGGCGCACGGGUGAGUAACGCGUAUCCAACCUGCCCACCACUUGGGGAUAACCUUGCGAAAGUAAGACUAAUACCCGAUGAUAUCCCUAGACGACAUCUGAAAGGGAUUAAAGAUUUAUCGGUGAUGGAUGGGGAUGCGUCUGAUUAGCUUGUUGGCGGGGUAACGGCCCACCAAGGCAACGAUCAGUAGGGGUUCUGAGAGGAAGGUCCCCCACAUUGGAACUGAGACACGGUCCAAACUCCUAACGGGAGGCAGCAGUGAGGGAUAUUGGUCAAUGGGCGAGAGCCUGAACCAGCCAAGUAGCGUGCAGGACGACGGCCCUAUGGGUUGUAAACUGCUUUUAUAAGGGAAUAAAGUGGGUCACGUGUGACUUUUUGCAUGUACCUUAUGAA
rnacentral:rRNA from 1 species